GUAACAUUUAGUGUGUGCAUUCCACUGGAAGAGUUUCCUCCGGUGGAGAAGUCAUCAAAACUCGUCAACAGUUCCGUCCUUCCUCGACACCAACGCCCUAGGGAGUGCAACGGCGGGAUAGUCGCAGGGCAGGGCCUUUCCAGUGGAGGCGUAGGGCCGGGACACCACGAAGUGCACGAGCACGGCGCCUGAUGUAUAGGCCACCCACCCGGACGACUUACCUUCAAGUUGAGGCCCGUGGAGACCUCUUCCAAGACGCUCUUCGCCCUCACCCAGCAUCCAAUAUAAAUUAUUGUGUCCAUGUGUGAUUCUUGUUUGGAAGAUUUAUAGACUGAGCUAGAGAAGUAGAGAUGGUUCAAACCAAGAGCUUUACUUUACUAUUAAAUGAUAGAUAAACUGUGAAAA